AAUAUUGGUCAAUGGAGGGAACUCUGAACCAGCCAUGCCGCGUGCAGGAAGACAGCCCUCUGGGUCGUAAACUGCUUUUAUUCGGGGAAUAAACCUUUCUACGUGUAGGAAGCUGAAUGUACCGAAGGAAUAAGGAUCGGCUAACUCCGUGCCAGCAGCCGCGGUAAUACGGAGGAUCCAAGCGUUAUCCGGAUUUAUUGGGUUUAAAGGGUGCGUAGGCGGCUUAUUAAGUCAGGGGUGAAAGACGGUGGCUCAACCAUCGCAGUGCCCUUGAUACUGAUGAGCUUGAAUACACUAGAGGUAGGCGGAAUGUGACAAGUAGCGGUGAAAUGCAUAGAUAUGUCACAGAACACCGAUUGCGAAGGCAGCUUACUAUGGUGUUAUUGACGCUGAGGCACGAAAGCGUGGGGAUCAAACAGGAUUAGAUACCCUGGUAG
rnacentral:rRNA from 1 species